UGGCGUACGGGUGAGUAACACGUGGGUGAUCUACCUCUUAGUGGGGGAUAUCUCUGGGAAACCGGAGUUAAUACCGCAUAAGUUCGAGAGAAGAAAGCAAGCAAUUGCGCUGAGAGAGGAGCCCGCGGCCGAUUAGCUAGUUGGUAGGGUAACGGCCUACCAAGGCUGAGAUCGGUAGCCGGCCUGAGAGGGCACACGGCCACACUGGCACUGAAACACGGGCCAG
rnacentral:rRNA from 1 species